UUAAAUAAUUGAAAAAACAGGAUUAACUAUUUUCGUUCUUUAAUAAUCCUCACCCAAUUAAAAUAAUAAUUAAAUGAAAUUAAAUAAAAACAAAAUAUUUGAAAUGCCAAAAACACAAAGGAAUGGCGAGCAGAGACAGUACCGCGAGAUUGUGAGCUUCUCAUUCCGGUGGCCGACUCAGGCGACGAAGAUGCAUCGUUCAAACCCUCCUCAUCUUCCUCCUCCUCCCACCACACAGGCCGCGAGUAGCUAAUUAGAUCAAGGCUUCCUUCUCUUUCCUCGAGAUUGCUUUUCAUUGGUAAGUGAGAGAUCUGGUAGUGUUUCUCUUAGCUGCUCACUCUUUGUUCCAUUGCAGUGUGUCCUAUUUCCAAGAGCAAUCACUUUCUAUAUCGCGUGGUGGUUUAUUCACUUUGUGGAUAGCUUCUUCUCUCCAAUCCAUGCUCAACUUGGAAUCAACAUUUUUGGUCCUGGAAUUGUGAACAUGCAUUCGGGUUCAUCACUUCAUCCGUUGUCCUUCAGAGCUAUUCUGAAGAUGAAGUGUUGUGUUUAUGUUCCCACGAACCAUCUUUACAUUGGUGAUGUGUUCCUGGUCAACACCAAGGUUGUUAUCAGACCAAAUUUAUCCGUACAGGAGGGAAUUGGAUGCAAUGUAUCUUCAAAAUUCAAAACAAUUACUUACUGGAAAAAUCGUAAGAAUCUGAAAGAAGUAUGAAAUAUUGAGUUGCUGAUGGUGAAGCUGGCAGUGAUCUGUAGUCCAUGAACUCGGAUAUGUGAUGAUGAGGAUGAGCUGAUGAUGACUAUGCAUCACCGGCUUGAUCGUGCCUCACCAUAGAAUCGAUCUGGGUGUGACUUAAUAUAGACAGAAGAUGCCCUCACUUCAAAAAUUUUGCCUUUUUCCAUUUCGGUCAUCUGUAUUAAUUCUCUUUUGAUUACUGGGAUGAUUAUCAUAGAUGCAUCAUGGCGUGGUCCUGCCUCAUCAUAGAUCUAAAUCAUGCAUAUUUUCCUUCAUAUGUUUGGCACACACUAAUUAACCCAUGUCCUCUUCAAUGUCUCAGGAAAAUCAGGAGAAGGGGAUUAAUUGAUUAGCCUUUCGCUCUCUCCAAAUGGUAAAGGCCAACAGAACAGAGUCAGGCGUCCGGCUGAAUAUGGCCUGACAAAGAAAGACAUGCAAAGGAUUUGCUAAGGCCCGCAAGAAGAUCAUCGUCCAUUGAGUUGGAUAUCUGUUCACCACUGUCACUGACCGCUGGAUCAUGUGGUUGCCGCUGGAGAAGUACUGGUUGAUUAUGAGGACGUGGUCGAGGUUGAGAGUGACGCUGUCAUGAGCGAGGCCGAAUAUGACGGCCUGCAGGGAGAGUAUCAAGAGACAAGGAAAGACGCAAAUGCGCUAGGCCCAGAGGAUCAUGAUCAUGUACUGUUAUUGGGUGUCGUCGUUUCUUCGUGGUCGUAACAAUCACUUCACCCAUAGAAUUCCAAAGUUUUGACUUGGAGGAGGAUGAAGAGGAAUCUUCGUGGGCUGUCGUGGCGGUAUCCACCGUUAUGGCACUGCAGUGGUUCAGAUUAAGACUGAAAAAUAUGACACUGGUUAUGUUUGUGUUGCCGAACCGAUGACACUGAGAUACCUAAACCCAAGAUCCUUCAAUCAACAAAAACAUAAGUUUAUAAUAUAAUAAUGUUUAGUUAGUGACUUGAGAAACUACAUACUUCUGGGUGGGAAGGGCGCACCGAAAGAGAGAGGAAAAGAGGAAAUUAAGAAUGGAGUUUUAACGAAACAUUUUUUGUACUGUUCAUUUUUAAAGAAAAGCCACAAUUUUACUUUUUUUCUAGUACUAUUAAUUACA